rnacentral:lncRNA from 10 species
AACAAGAGUGAAGCUCCGUCUCAAAAAAAAAUUAAAAAGUUGUACCAAUUUAUGCUCCUAGUGGUAUAGAUGAUAGUGUCCUAUCACUCACAUCUGUAUCAAUAUUGGGUAUUAUCAUUGAGUAUUUCAAAAUAUUUGAAGGAAAAUUACGCAGUCUUUAAAAAUAAUUCAGAUGCUUAACACCUAGGAAAACAUUUAUGAUAAUAGUUAAUGCAAAAAGUAGAGUCCAGCUGCACAUUUAGGCAAAGGUAGGGAAGUAACAUGGCUUGUGGGCAUUUUUCUUCUUACUCUCCCAAAUUGUCUUUAAUUACAGUUUUACAAUGCGAAAGUAGAAAAAAAAUUCAGAAAGCAACAAGCUUGGCCCCUGUGUCAGCUCAAGAGAAUUAAGCCACGCUAGUAAUUUUUAAACGACAGAUAAUUUAAUGCAGAUUAAAAUCACACCACUCACUGGUAGGUGUGAAGGCUCUUUAGGAAGGAUUCUCAGAACAACGCUACGGAGCUGCCAGACAUGGGAACAAUCGGGAAUCUGGGUUCAGGAAACCACUGCACCAAUGGUUGAAACCGUAAUACCUUCAGAGUACAGUAAUCUACCAUGGCAAGUAUUGGCUCCAAGCAUACACCACUGCAAGAAUUGCUUAGCAGGAAUCCAUUGCUUCACAUCCUAAAUGCAAACUGCGAGAUUUAAUAUUGAUGCCUCACAGACUUCUGUCUCUCCACUGAACUGUUUCUGAGAUUAAGCAAGUAUCACUGGUGAAAAGUUAAUUACAAGCAGCGCCCUAGUUGCAAGGAAGUCUGGGAAAUGUAGUUUUUAUCUUUACAGCUUCUUAAAUACAGGAGGGUACUCCAGAGAGAGGUUGGAUCAGCUGUUCAGCAAGCCAAUCUUCUACAGAUGCUUCAUGUCCAUGAGGAUGAUCAAUAAAAGAUUAACUGACUUACUGGUCUGACAUGAUGACAGAUAAUGAAGAUUGUUAAGGAUUUUCUCUGUUUGCUGUACCUGAUUUUCUCUGUUUGCUGUACCUCCACCCUUCUCUGCCUUCCCAAGUGCCCUGGGAGACUGACUUCUAUGUAUUACAUAUUCUGGGUUCCCAGCCUUUCUGGGGGCUGGUUGGUUUUAGCCAAUGGCAAGCUGUGAGAGAGGUACCCUGGUUUCUUCACUGCUGGUCAGCAUUUGAUAGUGUGUGUGUCCCUUUACCUAAGAUUAAAGUGUCUGUUGGCAGACUGUCUCCACCAGCUACAGCUCUUGCUGGGUGUAACAGCUUCCUCCACUUGCCUCCUUAGUUCUAGAAGUGGUAAUGGCUUCUCACUGCUGCUAGUCACUUACCGUUGCUCAGGAUUUUACUUUUUAAGAAAUGGGGUCAUUUUGCUCUGUCACCGAGGCUAAAGUGCAGUGGUGUGAUCAUAGCUCACUGCAGCUUUCAACUCCUGGACUCACACAAUCCUUCUGCCUCAGCCUCCUGAGUAGCUGGGACUAUAGGUAUGCACCACCACAUGCAGAUUACUCAGGGUUUUUAACCAUUCCUUGUUGGCUCCCUUAACCCUACCCAUACAAUAGUCCCUUCAUUCAACUCUCCUCAAUUACUUCUUUGAGUGUGCCAUCUUUUCCUGCUGGGAAAAGUUAACAUAGCCAGGCAGAUGAGACAUAAACAUAGCCACAAGCUCAGAAUGUGUCAGGUUUUUGGAGAUAGGGUUGUUAAAGAAGUAAUUAAGGUAAAAUUAUUCAUUUUACCUAAUCUAGUAUGACUGAUGUCUUUAUAAUGAGAGAGCAGAACCAGGGGUGCCAACACAGAAAAAAAGACCAUCUGAGGACGCAGUGAGAAGAUGGCUAUCUACCAGUGAAGAGACCUCAGAAGAAAUCAAACCAACGCAGCCUUGAUGCUUGACUUCUAGCCAACUGACCAGUGAUAAAUUUGUAGUAUGAGGACUACAUAUGUAUUACAUUGAACAGCAACUGUUCAAUAGUUUUAUAAGAACAUACAUUGAAACUCACAGACCUAGGUUUAGAACUGCCUCCUGACUUCUUGUGGCCUACUCUUUCCAUGCUUUGGGUUAUUGUUCUGACAUUUUCAAGUCCUUAAUUACCAACACACUUGAGUUUCCAAGGUCUUCCAUCCUUGGCCUCAUCUCUCAACUCUUAAUUUUGCCUUUGUGACUGCUAGCAUCUUAGAUGGCUCCCAGUGAUCCUUACUUCCUGGUAUUCAUACCCUUGCAAGUCUCCUCCCACAGUGAAUCAAGGCGUGAACUGUACAACCCAUUACUGCACAGCAGAGAUGACAGUGUGUGACCUCUAAGGCUAGGUCAUUUGUUUGGUCUCUGGGAUCACUAGCUUUGGGGGAAGCCAGCCCCCAUGCCUCAAAGAUACUCAAGCAGCUCUGUGAAGCAGCCACAUGAAGAGGAACAAAGGCUCCCAGCAACAGGCAGCACCAACUUGCCAGCCAUGUGAGUAAACCACCUGAGGCAGAUCCUUCAGCCCUAGAUAACUCCAGUCUCAGGUAAUUUGACUGUAAUUUCAGUAGAGACUCUGGACCAGAACUGUUCGGCCAAGACACUCCUGAAUUUCUGACCAUGGAAACUGUGAGAAUAGAUGACUUUUUAAAGUCACUACAUUCUGAUUACACACCGUAACUAAUACAAUAUUUCAUAAGCCUCCACCCAGUACAUACAUUAUCCUCAGCAUUUU